rnacentral:rRNA from 1 species
GACGAACGCUGGCGGCGUGCUUAACACAUGCAAGUCGAACGGAAAGGCCCUUCGUGGUACUCUAUUGGCUAACGGGUGAGUAACACGUGGGUGAUCUUCCCUUCACUUUGGGAUUAGCCUGGGAAACUGUGUCUAAUACCGAAUAGGACCACGCGCUUCAUGGUUUUUGGUGGAAAGCUUUUGCGGUGUUGGAUGGGCCCGCUGCCUAUCAGCUUGUUGGUGGGGUAAUGGCCUACCAAGGCGACGACUGUUAGCCGGCCUGUGAGGGUGACCGGCCACAAUGGGACUGAGAGAAGGAGCAGAAGCAGACGGGAGGCAGCAGUGGGGAAUAUUGCAAAAUGGGAGCAAGCCUGAUGCAGAGACGCAGCGAGAGGGAUGACGGCCUUCGGGUAGAAAAAAAAUUUAACCAGGGACGAAGAGAAAGUGACGGUACCUGGAGAAGAAGCACCGGCGAACUACGUG